rnacentral:rRNA from 1 species
UGGGGGAUAUUGCACAAUGGGGGGAACCCUGAUGCAGCGACGCCGCAUGGGUGAAGGAGCGUUUCGGCGCGUAAAGCCCUAUCGGCAGGGAAGAAGGAGGACGGUACCUGACUAAGAAGCCCCGGCUAACUACGUGCCAGCAGCCGCUGUAAUAUCUGUCU